GACGAACGCUGGCGGCGUGCUUAACACUUGCAAGUCGAACGGUAAGGCCCUUCGGGGUACACGAGUGGCGAACGGGUGAGUAACACGUGGGUGAUCUGCCCUGCACUUCGGGAUAAGCCUGGGAAACUGGGUCUAAUACCGGAUAGGACCACUGCCUGCAUGGGUGGUGGUGGAAAGCUUUUGCGGUGUGGGAUGGGCCUGCGGCCUAUCAGCUUGUUGGUGGGGUGAGGGCCUACCAAGGCGACGACGGGUAGCCGGCCUGAGAGGGUGACCGGCCACACUGGGACUGAGAUACGGCCCAGACUCCUACGGGAGGCAGCAGUGGGGAAUAUUGCACAAUGGGCGCAAGCCUGAUGCAGCGACGCCGCGUGAGGGAUGACGGCCUUCGGGUUGUAAACCUCUUUCAGCACCGACGAAGCGCAAGUGACGGUAGGUGCAGAAGAAGGACCGGCCAACUACGUGCCAGCAGCCGCCGUA
rnacentral:rRNA from 1 species